AUUUUUUUGUUCAUUAUUUUUCACUGCAGACGUUUCUCUUGCUUAUUUUCUUUACAGAAUUUCAAAUAUAGAAUAUCAAGGGUCUCUAGCUGCCGGGUCCGACACCAAUUGCGAAAAAAUUUGCUGAAUGAAUGUAAUAAUCGUCAUUUUUCGCCACUGAUGACGUCACGUCCUCGGAUGGCUGGCUGGCUGGCUGCUCUCUCUCUCUCCCAGUGUCUCCCUCUCUUGUAUGUAGUCAUUAGCACGUAAUGUCUGUGUAUGGUGGCCAGAACGAGGUGUGCAAAGAAGCAUAUGACUAAUUUGGUAUUGUUAUUGCAUAAAAUCGACAACUGGCAAGACCUUCAGGGGCAGACAUCCGCAGCAAAGCAGCAGCAGCCGCCACAUCGGAGAGGUAAAAAGAGCAAAAGCUUAACCAUUAUGUGGCGGCGUCGCAUGAAGUCAUCAGCGGCAGCAGCAGAAAAAGCGGCAACAGCCUGGAAAGAGACGAACAUAUGCUGAGAGCGAGAGAGAUCGUUAACCUUUAAGCUGGACAUGGGACUCGGCACAAGGUCGUUUCCUCCCGUGGUUAUGGCGCAUGAAAUAUGGUCUCGCGCAACAUGAAGUGAAGUGGAAGCGACGCCAUUUGUUGCAGUGGCAGCAGAACACAAAACCGCGUUGCCAAGCCAGCACCAGCAAGCAACAUCUGGUCUCGUCUCGGACCUGGGCUUGGGCUUGGCUUUAUAUCUCGUCCCACAGCCCACCUUCUUGAAAGUCUCCUACCAUGCGCGCUAAUCAGAGACCGGGGCUGGUUUUUUCACUGCAGUCAGGUACCUGAAGUAGCGCGCGUGGUGCUAGACACGAACAUCUGUGUGUGGCAUCAUCUUUUCUUCAGAAUACAAUAUAUAUAAUUUCAUGUGUCUCCCAUGUCUAUUGUACUUCAUCAGGUGCUCUGGUGUGUCCUGUAACCCGGCACAUGUUGAAGUACACUCAAUAUGAGGCGAAUUUCGUGCGAAACAAUCAGUGAUGUCUAAAUUUAUAAAUUGAGUAAACAUAAGCUUAAUCUCUAAUUGAUUGUUAAUUAAGACAUUUAAGGCUGUAUUUUUUUAUAGUUAAAUCUUCAAUAAAUAUAAAAUGUAUUAAAAUAAAUGCUUAAAUGUA
rnacentral:lncRNA from 1 species